AUCAAUGAGGAACGUCACCAUAUUUGUUUUGUCGGUGAAAAUUGUGUUCUGAUUGCACAAUUAACACUGAUUUAUAGUAGUGCGUUAGUUGUAUUUCUUCAUGUUGGCAGUUUCUUCUGAAAAUGGAUUGAGGUCCCACUCGGCGCGAUAAGUUCCGAUCCCUUGAAUGACGGUGCAGUAGAAGUCACGAUCGAGCUUUUCGUACCGCGAAGGAAGCUCUAGCAGCUGGAAACUAUGUUCACGGGUGUACCGCCGCCGGGAUUCGACCACAUUACUCCGCAACAGUACAUCAUAUUAUAUGACUUAGGAGGCGGCCGGUCAGCCCCUGGUCACUGAGUCGACUAUCCGGCGACAGACUGUUUGAUUGUAUACGUGGGCUACAUUCCAUUCGGUGUCACCCAGGAGGAGACGAUGCAGUUCUUUAACGAACACCAGCCCGGUGUGGACCAAGCAGCUGCAACCCCGGUCUUGCUUGUCAGGUGACUCUUGACAACAAUUUCCUUUUUCUGGAAUCCGUUCGAUUGACGAUACUAUUCAAGCAACGGCAUUUACGUCAAGGGGUAGUAUCCUGCACCAACCUGGCAUGACCGACUUCACUGUACCAGCCGUACUACGGUCCAAAAAAAAAAUCUGCGGUUUGAUUAGUACGGUUGGGCACGAUUGUCCUUACAAUGUCGUCAUUGGUGGCUUGCCGAAUUAGUUGAAUGAGGAUCUGGUG